rnacentral:rRNA from 1 species
AUGGAUGCGGUCGCUGCCCUGCGCCUCCCGCUGGCGACGAGCCCAGUCCCCCUGCCUUCUUCCAGCGACGCGCGCCGUUCAACGCCACCACCACUGCCAGUUCAACACUGCCCCGCUUUGCUUCUCUCAACUUCAAAAAGAGGUUCAGUUCAGAAGUUUCAACAAGAAAAAGAGCCGGCAAGUGGCCCUGCACAACAACAAUCAGCAGUUCGACAGGGGAGUGUGGGUCAGUACCACGCCGACAAGUCAGGCAGACGUCCUUUGCAUCAUGAACUGGUGCAGUUCGAUCUUGCGCAAGCAGGAAAUUCCCUGAUGCCGAGUGUGUCAGUACCACCCUACACAGCAGCAAUCAUUGUCUUCUUGCAGCUUCCAUUGAACACUUAA